rnacentral:rRNA from 1 species
UUCCGGUUGAUCCUGCCGGACCCCACUGCUAUCGGGAUGGGACUAAGACAUGCUAGUCGAGCGUCUCUAAGCUAUGGAAGAGACGCGGCACACAGCUCAGUAACACGUGGCUAACCUGCCCUUGGGACAAGGACAACUCCGGGAAACUGGGGCUAAUCCCUGAUAGGUGAGAACUCCUGGAAUGGAUUCUCGCUGAAAGGACGUUUAGACCAUGCUUCUAGGCGUCGCCCAAGGAUGGAGCCGCGACCGAUCAGGUUGUUGGUGAGGUAACGGCUCACCAAGCCUUUAACCGGUACGGGCCGUGAGAGCGGAAGCCCGGAGAUGGGCACUGAGACAAGGGCCCAGGCCCUACGGGGCGCAGCAGUCGCGAAAACUCCGCAAUACACGAAAGUGUGACGGGGCCAUCCCGAGUGCCAUCCGCUGAGGAUGGCUUUUCCCCAGUGUAUAAAGCUGGGGGAAUAAGGAGAGGGCAAGCCUGGUGUCAGCCGCCGCGGUAAUACCAGCUCUCCGAGUGUGGGGAUGUUUAUUGGGCCUAAAGCGUUCGUAGCCGGCUUAACAAGUCUUCCGUUAAAUCCAACGAUCUAAUCGUUGGGCUGCGGGAGAUACUGUUGGGCUGGGAGGCGGGAGAAGCCGACGGUAUUCUCGGGGUAGGGUGAAAUCCUGUAAUCCCGGGAGGACCACCAGUGGCGAAGCGGUCGCUAGACGCGCUCGACGGUGAGGACGAAAGCUGGGGGAGCGAUCGAUUAGAAACCCGAGUGGUUCCAGCUGUAACGAUGCGGCUAGGUGUUGGGGGUGGCCACGAGCCCCUCCAUGCCGCAUGAAGCAAUAAGCCGCGCCUGGGGGUACGCCGCAGCUGAA